UCCUUGAUGCUUCCACCACCAUGAACUCUACAUGCCUUUCCUGCCAUGGUGGACUGAAAUCCUUAGAAACCAGAAGCCAGAAUAAACCGUCCUCCAGAAGUGGUUCCUGCCAGGUAUUGUCUGUCAUGAGAAAACAAAAAUAAUAAAUACAAAGUCCUCUGACGCAAUGGACUUAGAAGUGAGGCCUCUGGAAGAUAACUGGAUUAAAAUGACUAAGAAAAGGUGAUUACAGUUAAGAAAUUGCAUGAAUCUCAGAAGAGACUUUGAACUUUGGACUUUAAAACAUUGUUGAGACUGUGACAGACUAUGGGGACUUUUGAAGUUGGAUUAAAUGAAUUUUGCAUUA